UUUCGUAGAUUUAUUUACAAUAUGAAGGUAGAUCGAAACUUUGUUAGCCCCUCUUCAAUAAGCAAAUACCUAUUGCAGAAUGCAGAGUUUGAGAGUUGCAAUAUUUCUUUUGGUAAAUUUUGUCCCAACUAUUUGUGGGUAUUAACACAAACUUAAAAAUAUUAUCAACAUACCUAGAUUAUCAAUGAUAUAAAGAAAAAGAUACGAAAAAAAGCACUUUUAAACAAAUAAUAGAACAUAUAUUUUAAGUUGUGACUUCAUAAAAAGUUAUUCUAUAAAUUGAAAGGUUUUUAUUCGCCAAAAUGCCUCGAAAAUCUAAACGCAUUAUGAAGAAACAACAAAGAAUUGGAAAUAAAACCAAAAUCGCCAAGAAGGAAGAGAAGCAGGAAGCAGUCGCACAAGUACCAGAUUACUAUAACACAAUAAAUCCAGACAGGAGAGUAACAAGACAGUUAUGUAAGAUUCUCCAAGCUAAUAACAAUUUUUCUUUAAUAGAAGUGUAUAGAUGUAUGCCCCUUUUGGGAGACGAGUAUGAAAUUCCAUAUUGGGAUGUCCAUGCUGUGCAUUACUCUGUUGUUUUUGGUCAUUAGUCUAAUUUUCAGUAGUAUUUUGACUUAAGCAUUCCUGUUUUUAUCCAAUUUUUAUACCCACUAAGAAUUACCAUGCAAGGUAAUAUUCACCAUAUUUUUUUAUAUAUAUUCUUGUUAAUGUAUUUGUAAGCUAGUAGUAGUUUUCAAUUAGUAUUCCUUAUCAAAACUUUGUUAGUUCUUAAGCAAAACCUUACUUUAAGUAAUUGUUGUGCCUUCAUAUUCUAUUAGUUAAAAAUGAACGACAAGAGUUGGAAAUUUUUUAAGUGUUUGAUAUUUGUAGCUGUAUUUUAUGACAGUUUUGUUAAAUAUAAAAAAAACAACUUUAACUGACUGUUAAGUUUAUGAUGUGACAAUGUUACAAAUAUCGAGUUUAUUUUUUCUCAAAUAAGUACAUUUACUUUUGACAUAAAUGUUAUUUUUUUUAAUUUUCUUUCUUACAUUAAAAAAUAAAACAUAA